rnacentral:misc_RNA from 1 species
UACGUAGGGAGCAAGCGUUGUCCGGAAUUAUUGGGCGUAAAGAGCGUGUAGGCGGUUUGAUAAGUCUGCUGUAAAAGUCCAGAGCUCAACUCUGGAAAGCCGGUGGAUACUGUUGAACUAGAGUACGGAAGAGGCGAGUGGAAUUCCUGGUGUAGCGGUGAAAUGCGCAGAUAUCAGGAGGAACACCAAUAGCGAAGGCAGCUCGCUGGGACGUUACUGACGCUGAGACGCGAAAGCGUGGGGAGCAAACAGG